GGGGGCGACUGGCUUCGACGGGGAUAAGUGAGGCGAAGGUGGCAUGCCGAGGUCCCAUUGGCUCGUAAAACAAAUGGGAAAAACGCAAGUGCGGACAAUCACGAACUUGCCUUAGCUGCGUAAGAGCAGCUAACGUCCUUCCUCUACCUCGCCCACGGGAGAGGUAAGGGCGUCGAUGCAGUGGGCUAGCUCUCCUUUCUCUGCUCAGGGGGAAGGAGAGUGAAGACUUUCCUGAGCUGGUAUUCCUCGAUGCCCUGCCUGUGGGGUAAGGGGAAUACGAGAAUCAGAAACGCAGGCUAAGCAUGUAGAAGCCUUCUGCCGAAGAUCUCCGGACGCGGGUUCGAUUCCCGCCGCCUCCACCA
rnacentral:tmRNA from 1 species